rnacentral:rRNA from 1 species
UGCCGCGUGNGUGAAGAAGGCCUUCGGGUUGUAAAGCUCUUUUAGUCGGAAAGAAAGAGUUGCAAUGAAUAAUUGNGAUUUAUGACGGUACCGACAGAAAAAGCACCGGCUAACUACGUGCCAGCAGCCGCGGUAAUACGUAGGGUGCGAGCGUUAAUCGGAAUUACUGNGCGUAAAGGGUGCGCAGGCGGUCUUGCAAGUCAGAUGUGAAAGCCCCGGGCUUAACCUGGGAAUUGCGUUUGAAACUACAAGGCUAGAGUGCAGCAGAGGGGAGUGGAAUUCCAUGUGUAGCAGUGAAAUGCGUAAGAUGUGGAAGAACACCGAUGGCGAAGGCAGCUCCCUGGGUUGACACUGACGCUCAUGCACGAAAGCGUGGGGAGCAAACAGGAUUAGAUACCCUGGUAGUCCACGCCCUANACGAUGUCAACUAGUUGUCGGAUCUAAUUAAGGAUUUGGUA